UGAGGAAUUUUGCGCAAUGGGAACAAUCCUGACGCAGCAACGCCGCGUGGGCGAAGAAGGCCUUCGGGUCGUAAAGCCCUGUCAGGUGGGAAGAAGGGUCCUAUCAGGAAAGGGGUGGGAUUUGACGGUACCACCAGAGGAAGCACCGGCUAACUCCGUGCCAGCAGCCGCGGUAAUACGGAGGGUGCGAGCGUUAUUCGGAAUUACUGGGCGUAAAGCACGUGUAGGCGGGGGAGCAAGUCUGAUGUGAAAGCCCCGGGCUUAACCCGGGAAGUGCAUUGGAAACUGUUUUUCUUGAGUACUGGAGAGGAAGGGGGAAUUCCCGGUGUAGAGGUGAAAUUCGUAGAGAUCGGGAGGAAUACCAGUGGCGAAGGCGCCCUUCUGGACGGUUACUGACGCUGAGACGCGAAAGCGUGGGGAGCAAACAG
rnacentral:rRNA from 1 species